UACAGAGGUCCCGAGCGUUGUUCGGAUUCACUGGGCGUAAAGGGUGCGUAGGCGGUCGGGUAAGUCUGAUGUGAAAUCUCACAGCUUAACUGUGAAACUGCAUUGGAUACUAUCCGGCUCGAGGAAUGGAGGGGAGACUGGAAUACUUGGUGUAGCAGUGAAAUGCGUAGAUAUCAAGUGGAACACCAGUGGCGAAGGCGAGUCUCUGGACAUUUCCUGACGCUGAGGCACGAAAGCCAGGGGAGCAAACGGG
rnacentral:rRNA from 1 species